UAAAAAAACUUUUACUCAUUUUCUUUUCUUCACACAAACACAAUGUGGAGCAACCUUCCUUCUGAUCUCUUAGCCAACAUCUUCUCCCUCCUCUCCCCAGACUCCUUGGCACGUGCCAGCUCUUCUUGCCGGCACUGGCACACGUGUGCCAAGGCUUACCCUUUGAGCACAACCUCUAAUAAUUCGGCAUGGUUCUUGGCCAUGCCAAUUCAGCGCAAUCAUACACUCUUGUUAUCUUCACAACCCAAUUCUCAACAAUUGGCAUGCUCUCUCUCUUGACUUUCUUCCAGACCCAGUUCGGCUUGUUGGUCCAAUUGGUAGCCUUGUUCUUAUUAGACCAACGAGUUCUACAUUUCUCCAAUUGGCUAUUUGUAACCCAUUUACUAGACAAUUUAGGCACCUUCCUAUGUUGAACAUUACAAGGACUAACCCAGCGGUGGGUGUUAUUAUGGUACUAGAUUCGACCCAAUCUGCUCCAUUUCCUUGCUUUAAGGUUUUUGUGGCAGGUGGGAUGUCCGAGGCCGUUGCGCCACGUCGCGGUGCCUUGUAUGAACCCACAUUGGAGAUGUACGACUCACGACAAGACACGUGGCAAAUUGUGGGGCCCAUGCCAGUUGAAUUUGCUGUGAGGCUAACGGUUUGGACACCCAAUGAGAGUGUGUACUCUAAGGGGGUCUUGUAUUGGAUUACCUCAGCUCGGGCUUACAGUGUAAUGGGGUUUGAGAUUGGUACUAACACAUGGAUGGAAUUGAAUGUGCCAAUGGCAGACAAGCUUGAAUUUGCCACACUAGUGAGAAGGAAUGGGGUGCUAACACUUGUUGGUGGCGUAUGUGGUGGAGAGGCUUGUGUAUGGGAGCUUGUUGAAGGGUACAAUUGGAGACUAGUUGAGAAGAUGCCAAUUGAAUUUGGGAUAAGAUUUUUAGGUAGCAAGACAAGUUGGGGUAGUACAAAAUGUGUAGGUAGUGAUGAGGCUAUUUACUUGUAUAGAGACCUUAGGUCAGGAAUGGUAGUUUGGAGGAAAGUUGUUGAUAAGGGUAAAUGGGAAUGGUUCUGGGUUGAAGGGUGUUGUUCCGUUGGGGGAAAACAAGUGCAAACUUUCCCAAUUAAAGGAGUACUUCUUCAGCCUAGUCUUGCUCUCUCAUGCAUAUCCUAAAUUAAUGAGGCCCAUUUGUGCAUGUGAGUUCUCUUUUUUAACUCAAUGUCAUUUUGUUGAGAUUGAUUUUCUUUACAAGUGUAAUGAAUAAUGAUGUUUCUUUCGUUAUAUAAUAAUCCUUUUUCCUUUGUAAAUAAACUA